GGUACGGUCGGGCCGGGGGUGGGGGGAAGAGGGGGGACCCUAGCUUGGGUCGGAAUACGUUGGCGUAAAGCGGGGUCAGGUGGCUUUAUAAGUCAGAUGUGAAAGGCCUGGGCUUAACCCAGGAAGUGCAUUUGAUACUGCAAAGCUUGAGUGCUGGAGAGGUUACUGGAAUACCUGGUGUAGUGGUGAAAUACGUAGAUAUCAGGUGGAACACCGGUGGCGAAGGCGGGUAACUGGCCAGACACUGACACUCAAACCCGAAAGCGUGGGGAUCAAACAGGAUUAGAUACCCCUGUAGUC
rnacentral:rRNA from 1 species